CCUACGGGCGGCAGCAGUGAGGAAUAUUGGUCAAUGGACGCAAGUCUGAACCAGCCAUGCCGCGUGCAGGAAGACGGCUCUAUGAGUUGUAAACUGCUUUUGUACGAGGGUAAACGCAGAUACGCGUAUCUGUUUGAAAGUAUUGUACGAAUAAGGAUCGGCUAACUCCGUGCCAGCAGCCGCGGUAAUACGGAGGAUUCAAGCGUUAUCCGGAUUUAUUGGGUUUAAAGGGUGCGUAGGUGGUCGGAUAAGUUAGAGGUGAAAUCCCGAGGCUCAACUUCGGAAUUGCCUUUGAUACUGGUCGGCUAGAGAGUAGUUGCGGUAGGCGGAAUGUAUGGUGUAGCGGUGAAAUGCUUAGAGAUCAUACAGAACACCGAUUGCGAAGGCAGCUUACCAAGCUACUUCUGACGUUGAGGCACGAAAGCGUGGGGAGCAAACAGGAUUAGAUACCCUAGUAGUC
rnacentral:rRNA from 1 species